rnacentral:rRNA from 1 species
UACGAAGGGGGCGAGCGUUGUUCGGAAUUACUGGGCGUAAAGGGCGCGUAGGCGGCCAACUAAGUCGGAUGUGAAAUCCCCAGGCUUAACCUGGGAACUGCAUCCGAUACUGGAUGGCUUGAAUCCGGGAGAGGGAUGCAGAAUUCCAGGUGUAGCGGUGAAAUGCGUAGAUAUCUGGAGGAAUACCGGUGGCGAAGGCGGCAUCCUGGACCGGCAUUGACGCUGAGGAGCGAAAGCUAGGGGAGCAAACGGG